CAAAUGACAGUAGCCUGAAAAAGUGAGGAAGUACAAUGUCAGAUGGUAUCACCUGGAAAACGACAGUGCACACAGAGAGAAACAAGAUGUAUGAGGUUCAUAGAAAAAAUGCGAUUAAAUAACCACACAUGGAGGUUGUAUGAAGAAGAAAUUCCCAAAAGAUUCCAAUUAUACAUAUAUAGGAGGUAGCAGACACUUUCUCACUACAUACUAUUGUGGACUUCUCAAAUGGAAAAUGACAGAGGCAUAUCUAUUAGACAGAAUUGAGGAACCAACAUGCAAAUUGUACAGUUGUUCUGGGCAACAAUUUCUUCCUAUGACAAUAACCCUGGAUGUGGGCUCUUGCUGUAAAUGACAUCACAA
rnacentral:lncRNA from 1 species